UCUGGGCAUGGUGGCGCAUGUCUGUAAUCCCAGCAGCUCAGGAGGCUGAGGAAGGAGGAUCUCAAGUUCAAAGCCAGCCUCAGCAAUGGCAAGGCACUAAGCAACUCAGUGAGACCCUGUCUCUA
rnacentral:sRNA from 1 species